CGGAGGGUGCAAGCGUUAUCCGGAUUCACUGGGUUUAAAGGGUGCGUAGGAGGGCAGGUAAGUCAGUGGUGAAAUCUCCGAGCUUAACUUGGAAACUGCCGUUGAUACUAUCUGUCUUGAAUAUUGUGGAGGUGAGCGGAAUAUGUCAUGUAGCGGUGAAAUGCUUAGAUAUGACAUAGAACACCAAUUGCGAAGGCAGCUCGCUACACAUAUAUUGACUCUGAGGCACGAAAGCGUGGGGAUCAAACAGGAUU
rnacentral:rRNA from 1 species